UACACUUUUAUACAUCAGUACACUGAAUAAGUUAUAUA
rnacentral:sRNA from 1 species